CGGAGAGUAGCGCAGUUGGUAGCGCGCAGCGUUCGGGACGCUGAGGCCCCGGGUUCGAAUCCCGGCUCUCCGACAA
rnacentral:tRNA from 2 species